UUCUGUAAACGCAGUCUCAUCGCCGGGCAAGAAGGAGGUUUGCUUUGGGAAAGGGACUAUUAUCGUCUUUGUUUCCAAGCUAAACUACGAGAAAGCAAGCUCCUCUUAAAGAUACUGUGGCCGACACCCAGGAGGGAUGAAGGACAGCUGGGAGGUUCAAAGCAAGACGGACUCAGUGAGCAGAGGAAGGGGUUACAAGGUGCACGGUGGACAGACCCUGAGACGCAUUGUCCAGAAGACGAACGGCACACAGUCGAUGGAUCAGCUAAGCCAACUGGGAAGCUCUGCCUGAGUAUGGAAGAGAAGGCAGCACGGGCAGCCGCCAGGAGCUGCAGACCCAGAGGAUCUCGUCCUUUCCUGCGGCCCAGGGAGAGACCUGCGUUUGGGGCUCAAGGUGGGUCUGCAGUUUCAGCUGAAGUUUGUCUCCUCUUCUCCAGGAGGCCGGGGCUUCUUCCCUUCCUCUGGGUCCCAUUUGUUUUAUCUUUUCUUUCUUUUUGAGACAGAGUCUCACUCUGUCACCCAGGCUGGGUGACAUGGUUCACCAUGUUGGCCAGGUUGGUCUCGAACUCCUGACCUCGUGAUCCGCCUGCUUCAGCCUCCCAAAGUGCUGGGAUGACACGCGUGAGCCACCGUGCCCGGCCCCUCCAGGUCUCAUUUCUAAGAGGAGGCCCCUGGUCCACCAGGGAGCAUUGCAGAGAUGUGAAACUCUCAACAGGCUGAUUUUAGCCCUUACAAAUCUUACAUACAUUGCCAGGCGUGGUGGUGCACGCCUGUCAUCCCAGCGACUCCGGAGGCUGAGGCAGGAAAACUGCUUGAACCUGGGAGGCGGAGGUUGCAGUGAGCCGAGAUCGCGCCAUUGCACUCCAGCCUGGGUAAUAAGAGUGAAACUCUGUAUUUAAAAAAAAAGAAAAAACCCAGGAAGUUAUAUACAGUUCAGAGGCAGAGAAGGAAUUUACAAGCUUUCUAAAAUGUCCUUAUGAAAAGAGUCUCUUCC
rnacentral:lncRNA from 1 species